UGUCCUAGAGUCUGGCUGACCCUAAGCACCCCACUGUCUAGAGAACCAUGGAAGGCUACAGCCACAAGAUUCUGAGUGGGAAGAAGGCAGGACAAUUUUCCUAGAUGCAGGGACCUGGGAGGAAGCAUGUCAAAAGCAGCAGGGUUAUAUCCUGCAUGCUGUUUUGUACACGAAGAUCAAUGGUAAUAACCAAGAAGAAGAACUUGUACACAGAGCAUAUUGAAAUAGCCACUUACCAACUUUCCUCUGCCAACCUGAUGGGGAAAUUGAGUCCCAGAAAAUGAAGAAGCCAUGAAGGAUCUAUUGCCUUGAAUUCCAUUAGGAAAGCAGGUAUAUUCAGGGUCCAACUUCUUGGCUGACUCCAAGCCUUUAAAUCAGAGAUGAAUGCAUUGGGCUGAGCCAUAGUGGAGGGUGUUAACUUCUAAACAAAACCACAGGAAAUGGAACCCCGAGGAGAGAAGCCAUUGACAACCAGGGAACAUUAGAGCAGAAAGGAUCCUUGGGACUCUGGGAUGUCCAGGUUAUGGAGAAGGAAGCUGGGCCCAGGUACUACUCAGGCAUGGAGAAUGAGAUUAGAGGGGGCCAGGCUGGAGGCAUGGAGGUGAAUUGGGCCUCGAUGGGCCCUGGACCUGGAUCGGGCAUCCACAGAGCCAGAUGUACACUUUCCACCUGCCAGCAGCCAUACAGGAGUGAAUGGUUUACAUUUAUAUAUUUUGGAAUAUUUCCUUUGAUUUUUUAAAAGACCCAUUUCCCUUGGCUUUAAUUUCAACUAUUUAUCGUAUACUUUUGCACUGUGUGACUUUUGGUUA